GUGAAGUUUUAUUCUUGCUUUGUCAUUCAGUUUUUGUUUGUUCUAUAUGUAAGUUCUUGCAUGAUUAUUAUCUUAGUUCUAGAUGGGCUAGAAGGAUUUUUGUUUGUUUAUAAUUCUCAUUAGUUGUUAUUGGUUGAUCAAGUAUUCUUGUAUUCAGCAAUACUAUUCAGCAAUACAUUUUGGUUUCGGUUAAAUUUUGUGCCAGCAGCCGCGGUUAUACUUUGGAAGCAUUUGAAUGUGUUCGGCAUUUGUAGUUAUUUGUUAGAAUUUGAUUGAUUGUGUUUUGGUAAUUGUUAGGUGAAAUUUUUAUUAUUUUUUAUUUCUUUUAUCUGUUUGGAGGCUAUGAAAUUCUUUUUAUAGACUAGGAUUAGAUACCCUAUUAUUUUAGAAUGUUAAUUCGUUUUUGCCUGAGUAGUAUUAGUUAUGUUCUUGAAACUUAAAGAAUUUGGCGGUAUCUCAUUCCGUCCAGAGGAAUCUGUCUCGUUAUCGAUAGUCCACGUUGGACCUUACUUGGUUGCUUUGGUUUGUAUACCGCCGUUUAUUUGAUUAUCUUUUUAGGGUUUUGAAUUUUCUGGUUUCCUUAUUUUGGUUUUAUUUCAGGUCAAGGUGCAGCUUGUUUCUAAGUGAAUGAUGGAUUACAUUGAUUAAUUUGUUUUUGGAUUGCUUGCUUGAAUUUGGGCAUGAAAUUGGAUUUGGUUGUAAUGAUUUGUAGAUUGUUAUUAUGAUAAUUGGUUCUGAGAUAUGUACACAUCGCCCGUCGCUCUCGUUACUGUUAAAUGAGAUAAGUCGUAACAAAGUGGUUGUACCGGAAGGUGCAGCUGGAUUGAA
rnacentral:ncRNA from 1 species